rnacentral:rRNA from 1 species
UACGAAGGGGGCUAGCGUUGCUCGGAAUUACUGGGCGUAAAGGGUGCGUAGGCGGUUCGUUAAGUCUGUCGUGAAAUCCCCGGGCUCAACCUGGGAAUGGCGAUGGAUACUGGCGAGCUAGAGUGUGUCAGAGGAUGGUGGAAUUCCCGGUGUAGCGGUGAGAUGCGUAGAGAUCGGGAGGAACAUCAGUGGCGAAGGCGGCCAUCUGGGACAACACUGACGCUGAAGCACGAAAGCGUGGGGAGCAAACAGG